AGGACGAACGCUGGCGGCGUGCUUAACACAUGCAAGUCGAGCGAGGCGCCUUCUUCGGAAGGUGACCUAGCGGCGAACGGGUGAGUAACACGUGGGCAACCUGCCCUCAGCUCUGGGAUAACUCCGGGAAACCGGGCUAAUACCGGAUAUGACUUCGGUCGACAUCGACCGGGGUGGAAAGAAUUUCGGCUGAGGAUGGGCCCGCGGCCUAUCAUGCUUGAUGGUGAGGUAACGGCCCACCAUGGCGACGACGGGUA
rnacentral:rRNA from 1 species